rnacentral:rRNA from 1 species
GACGAACGCUGGCGGCGUGCUUAACACAUGCAAGUCGAACGGAAAGGCCCUGCUUUUGUGGGGUGCUCGAGUGGCGAACGGGUGAGUAACACGUGAGUAACCUGCCCUUGACUUUGGGAUAACUUCAGGAAACUGGGGCUAAUACCGGAUAGGAGCUCCUGCUGCAUGGUGGGGGUUGGAAAGUUUCGGCGGUUGGGGAUGGACUCGCGGCUUAUCAGCUUGUUGGUGGGGUAGUGGCUUACCAAGGCUUUGACGGGUAGCCGGCCUGAGAGGGUGACCGGCCACAUUGGGACUGAGAUACGCCCCAGACUCCUACGGGAGGCAGCAGUGGGGAAUAUUGCACAAUGGGCGGAAGCCUGAUGCAGCAACGCCGCGUGCGGGAUGACGGCCUUCGGGUUGUAAACCGCUUUCGCCGGUGACGAAGCGUGAGUGACGGUAAUGGGUAAAGAAGCACCGGCUAACUACGUG